GAGCACGUAGGUGGGUUUGUAAGUCAGAUGUGAAAGCCUUCUGUUCAACGGGAGAAUUGCAUCUGAAACUACUGAUCUUGAGUGUAGGAGGGGAGAGUGGAACUUCUGGUGGAGCGGUGAAAUGCGUAGAUAUCAGAAGGAACGCCGGCGGCGAAAGCGAUUCUCUGGCCUAUUACUGACACUCAGUGUGCGAAAGCUAGGGGAGCAAACGGGAUUAGAUACCCCGGUAGUCCUAGCCGUAAACGAUGGGCACUAAGUAGAGGGGUUU
rnacentral:rRNA from 1 species